CAGCAACUCAAGACUGUCUUCCCUACCCUCUUCAUUGCCUCUUUCAACAGUAUGAAGUUAAAAUCAGGACUACCCAGGCAGGGGGAGCUGCCUUCACUCACCCUUUCCCACUACUGCUUCCAGAAACAUCUCCCCAUCACUACACUAGGGACUUUGUAAGCACAGAUGUGGGACCCAUGAGUACUACAGAAGGAAGCAGAAGCUGCAAAGACCUUGGUUUCUCUGGCCCUUCCAACAGCAAGUAUCGCCAGGAGCAGCUCCCUAAUCUACAUACUACAGAUCUAUCCACAAGAAGACAGAUGGAACCACUCUUUUCUUCUGAAUUCUAGAACCUUAAGGAAGUUAACCUGAGUGGCUCAGCUUGGAUCAAGUGCCCAUCCUGGUCCAAACAACUGUAGCAGCACAUCUGUGUAUUUGUGUAUCUUGUUCCUCCAUAAUCUUGCAGUCCGGGGAAAGUGUGCAGAUGGAUGGGUCCCUGAAAAGCAAGAGUUGUUUAGACAACGCUAGAGGUGUUCAGUUCUGGGAGACAAGAGUUGGGCCAGGUUGAUAACUAGCCUAAGAGAGUCGGAAUCAGAUGAAUAAGAACUAGAUCUUGGGUGACAACCUAGAUCAAGAGUCUUGAGGUUCAGUCAUUUCAAAAAGCUCAAGUCUCAUUGCUUCUUGGCCUUCUGGCUAAGAUCAUGUGCAGUAUCUGUUCUUACCAGUUUAAUAUCUGAUACAUCCUCUAUCUGAGGAUAAUAUAAUAAAUAGAUUUUUG
rnacentral:lncRNA from 10 species